rnacentral:rRNA from 1 species
GACGAACGCUGGCGGCGUGCUUAACACAUGCAAGUCGAACGGUGAAGCGCCUUCCUUUUUGGUGGGUGUGGAUGAGUGGCGAACGGGUGAGUAACACGUGAGUAACCUGCCCCCUUCUUCUGGAUAACCGCAUGAAAGUGUGGCUAAUACGGGAUAUUCUGGGUCUGUCGCAUGAUGGGUCUGGGAAAGAUAUUGUUUCGGUGGGGGAUGGGCUCGCGGCCUAUCAGCUUGUUGCUGGGGUGAUGGCCUACCAAGGCGGUGACGGGUAGCCGGCCUGAGAGGGAUGACGGUAACGCUAGGACUGAGACACGGCCCUUAAUACAACGGGAGGCAGCAGUGGGGAAUAUUGCACCAUGGGGGCGAGGCUGUUGCAGCAUCGCCGCGUGAGGGAUGGAGGCCUUCGGGUUGUGAACCUCUUUCGCCAGUGAAGCAGGCCUGCCUCGUUUGUGCGUUGGUUGACGGUAGCUAGAUAAGAAGCGCCGGCUAACUACGUG